GGAGGCUGCAUCAUCUGCUGCUCUUUCUAGGUGCCAGGAUCUGCUCCCUCUUCUUACCCUUCAGGCCUACGGGUGGUGGUAGCCCCCACUUUUACUGGCCCUGGGGCACAGUGGUUUCCUCUGGUGGUGCUUACCAGCACAGUCACAUUAGACUCUCUGUGGUCACCUGUUGCGAGUGUGAGCUCCCCUGUUUCCUGCCAGGGCCCUGCCUGCUGGCCCAGUGGGUGCUGGAGUGGAUAAGGAUUGGCUCCCUAAGAAGAGUGGCUGCCCCUGGGCCCUACUGCCAGUGUCAGCAGGCUGUGCCUAGCCAACCCUCACCAGGCUGUCUUUCAGGAGGGUAACCAAUGACCAAGGACUCUAAACCAUCCAACAGCACAGGCCGGGCUGAAGUGUGUCCAUGUAACCUGUUAUGUAUUUGGGCUUAAUUUGCCCAGCUACCUGAGAAGUGGGUACACUGUCAUUCCCGUUUUCUAGAUGAAGAAAGAGACUGAGGGUCUGAGAGACUGUAGAACUUGUGCAAGGUCUGGAAGGUGGGCAGCGUCAAAACUGGGCUUGGAGCCACAUCUCCAUCUCCUAACCCCAGACCUCUCUGGUUGUCUCCCCUGCUGCCCUGGAGGAAAUCCAGAGUCGGGGAGGAAGUGUUGGUGUUGGCAUCAUGCAAACUCUGUCCCACUCAUCCACGGCAGCAUGGUGAUAUCACAAGCAAACAGCUUAGUGAGCCUCAAUUUCCUCAUCUGUAAUUAGAGAUGCAAGCCUUGUGGCCACCAAGGCCCCACUGCGAGCUCAUGAGAGUCUCUGGGACCAAGUAGCCCUCAGUCGCUAAUGAAGCAUCGAGCAUAUCAGAGCUUAGAAGGGGCUGUAGGCCUCAAGUCUGGCUGGCUGGGAGGUGCAGAAUGGUCAAGGCUGUGCCCGUGCUCAGAGCUAGAAAUUGGGUCUCCUGCUCUCUGGAUCCUUCCCUUGUAGCUCCUGGAAGCCAGAUCUCUUAGCUCCUCAUUUGUACCCAUCCCUCAUGUUCUGGAGAAAUGUCCAGAACAUAAUCAGCAUCCCCCAUGCAGCUGCCCCUGCUGUCCAUGCCAUGCUUCACCAUGGUUAAAGGAAUAACCGGGCCACACCCAUGUUUAUCUCUACAUUCGGCAACUAUUAGUUGACAUAUAUGCUCCUUCAGGGGACAGCAGAGCUGCUCAGGGACUCAAACACAUGAGACCCCACAUGAGGGGCAGUAGAGGAGGUGGUAGCCACCCCCACACCUGUGUCCUUCAGCCUACCUGAGGGCACCUGCUGCGCCAAUACCUAGCAUGUGGUCAGCUGCCCACCUGUGAUGCUCACACCUUCACAACGGCCACACCUUGUUUCCCAUUCGACAUGCUCGCCUCACAAGGAGUCUUCACUACUCACCCCGCAAAGAGGCAGGCUCUCUGUCCUGCCUUGAAUCUGCGUGCCCUGGGACAGGAGCAGAAAUGAUGUCGUGUGGCUUCUGGGGCCAGGUCACAAGGCAGCUCUGUCUGGCUCUCCUGGGACACUUGCUGUCGGAUCCCAGCUACCCUGCUGUGAGGAACCCAAGCCUCAGCUAACAGCCGGCACCAACCACCAGACAUGUUAAUAAGGAAGCCUUCAAGAGGCUCCAAGCCCCAGCCUCCACCUAACUAUAACUGUAAGAGAGACCCCGAGCAAGACUGCCCAGCUGAGCCUACACAACCUCGAGUUAUAAGAGAUUAUAGCAAAAUAACUUGCCAUUUUACACACUAUUUUGGGAGAUGCGUACUUUGUUGGCAGCAAUAGAGAGAGCCAGAACCCUGAGCCAAGUGCUUGAGUCGCACUUCAUUUCAGGAAACUCUCCCCCAC
rnacentral:lncRNA from 1 species